rnacentral:rRNA from 1 species
GAUGAACGCUGGCGGCGUGCCUAAUACAUGCCGGUCGAGCGAACGGACGAGAAGCUUGCUUCUCUGAUGUUAGCGGCGGACGGGUGAGUAACACGUGGAUAACCUACCUAUAAGACUGGGAUAACUUCGGGAAACCGGAGCUAAUACCGGAUAAUAUUUUGAACCUCAUGGUUCAAAAGUGAAAGACGGUCUUGCUGUCACUUAUAGAUGGAUCCGCGCUGCAUUAGCUAGUUGGUAAGGUAACGGCUUACCAAGGCAACGAUGCAUAGCCGACCUGAGAGGGUGAUCGGCCACACUGGAACUGAGACACGGUCCAGACUCCUACGGGAGGCAGCAGUAGGGAAUCUUCCGCAAUGGGCGAAAGCCUGACGGAGCAACGCCGCGUGAGUGAUGAAGGUCUUCGGAUCGUAAAACUCUGUUAUUAGGGAAGAACAUAUGUGUAAGUAACUGUGCACAUCUUGACGGUACCUAAUCAGAAAGCCACGGCUAACUACGUG